rnacentral:rRNA from 1 species
AUUGAACGCUGGCGGAAUGCUUUACACAUGCAAGUCGAACGGCAGCACGGGUGCUUGCACCUGGUGGCGAGUGGCGAACGGGUGAGUAAUGCACCGGAACGUAUCCAAUAAUGGGGGAUAACGCACCGAAAGGUGUGCUAAUACCGCAUACGCCCUGAGGGGGAAAGCGGGGGAUCGUAAGACCUCGCGUUAAUGGAGCGGCCGAUGCCGGAUUAGCUAGUUGGUGAGGUAAAGGCUCACCAAGGCGACGAUCCGUAGCUGGUCUGAGAGGACGACCAGCCACACUGGAACUGAGACACGGUCCAGACUCCUACGGGAGGCAGCAGUGGGGAAUUUUGGACAAUGGGCGCAAGCCUGAUCCAGCAAUGCCGCGUGAGUGAUGAAGGCCUUAGGGUUGUAAAGCUCUUUUACCAGGGAUGAUAAUGACAGUACCUGGAGAAUAAGCUCCGGCUAACUCCGUGCCAGCAGCCGCGGU